GGCGGUUUCCGAUUGCACAGCAAAUCGGGCGUAAUGAGAUUACAACUAGGCUGGGACCUGAUACCGCGUUAUCUCAUUACGGCCGGGUUGAUCCAAACAAGAUUCAACGUUAUCCCUUACCAGCGUAAACAGAUGACGUUACAAAUCGGCGAACCAAACACCUCCUAAGUACCAGUGACAAAAACGCUAAAAUGCUAAGUUAAGUUUCCAGCCUCAGCCACCGAUCUAGAGUUCUCACAUGUUCAGUUCUAAUGAUUGGGUACAAUUAUCAGCGAGCCAUGUCGGAUGAGAGUUACUCCCUCCGUUCUAAAAUAAAGUUGAGUCAUCUAUUUUGGAACGGAGGGAGUACGUAUCACGUGAUUCAGUCUUCAGGAGUUGGGGGGAUGUCCUCCAUGGCCCCUUUACCAUCAGCG
rnacentral:lncRNA from 1 species